rnacentral:rRNA from 1 species
AAAUUGAAGAGUUUGAUCAUGGCUCAGAUUGAACGCUGGCGGCAGGCCUAACACAUGCAAGUCGAACGGUAACAGGAAGCAGCUUGCUGCUUUGCUGACGAGUGGCGGACGGGUGAGUAAUGUCUGGGAAACUGCCUGAUGGAGGGGGAUAACUACUGGAAACGGUAGCUAAUACCGCAUAACGUCGCAAGACCAAAGAGGGGGACCUUCGGGCCUCUUGCCAUCGGAUGUGCCCAGAUGGGAUUAGCUAGUAGGUGGGGUAAAGGCUCACCUAGGCGACGAUCCCUAGCUGGUCUGAGAGGAUGACCAGCCACACUGGAACUGAGACACGGUCCAGACUCCUACGGGAGGCAGCAGUGGGGAAUAUUGCACAAUGGGCGCAAGCCUGAUGCAGCCAUGCCGCGUGUAUGAAGAAGGCCUUCGGGUUGUAAAGUACUUUCAGCGGGGAGGAAGGGAGUAAAGUUAAUACCUUUGCUCAUUGACGUUACCCGCAGAAGAAGCACCGGCUAACUCCGUGCCAGCAGCCGCGGUAAUACGGAGGGUGCAAG